AAACGUGAAUUUGAUAGGCAUAGUGGAAGUGAUAGAUCUUCUUUUUCACAUUACAGUGGCCUGAAGCACGAGGACAAACGUGGAGGUAGCGGAUCUCACAACUGGGGAACUGUCAAAGACGAAUUAACUGACUUGGAUCAAUCAAAUGUGACUGAGGAAACACCUGAAGGUGAAGAACAUCAUCCAGUGGCAGACACUGAAAAUAAGGAGAAUGAAGUUGAAGAGGUAAAAGAGGAGGGUCCAAAAGAGAUGACUUUGGAUGAGUGGAAGGCUAUUCAAAAUAAGGAUCGGGCAAAAGUAGAAUUUAAUAUCCGAAAACCAAAUGAAGGUGCUGAUGGGCAGUGGAAGAAGGGAUUUGUUCUUCAUAAAUCAAAGAGUGAAGAGGUAAAACUAAGUUUUGUCGUGUUUGAAAAUGUUCAGAUGUGACUUGAAUUGUAUUUGUAAUUUUUGUUUUAAAAUUUCACAUGGGUUAUUUGUCUAAAAAAAAGCUGUACAUAGGAUCAUUUGGGGCAGAUAAUUUGCUUUAUAAGGAAAAUAAACUGUAUUAUCACAUAUUCUAAGAAAUUUAGUCCUUUGAUCAAUUCGUAAUUAUGUUUUAUGUGGUAGAGUUGCUUUUUCCUGAAAAGCUGU
rnacentral:sRNA from 1 species